UUUUUGUUGAAUAUAAAUCAAAGAAAACUUUGAUGAGUUAAAUUCGUUCAUGGCAAUCCAAUGAGAAUGAGGUCCAUCAAACCAAAGGCUCUGAUAGCGUCAUGUAUUGCGCAUGCUCCACGCCCACCGGAUGCGGAAAGGUCCGUUGAGAAGUUAACGAGCGCACGUGGAGUUACUUCUUUGGCAUACCUGAUAGUGAGAAAUACAUCACAAAAUAAAGCCACAUUCCCAUGCUCUGAGAUUCUUAUGCACCUCCUCAACAAUACAUGUGACGUGUAUGUGGCAGUGCAAGCAUUGUGUUACCAGAGAGAGCAGCAGGUACAAAUUACUUCAACAUUAUAAAC